rnacentral:rRNA from 1 species
GAUGAACGCUGGCGGCGUGCCUAAUACAUGCAAGUCGAGCGAACAGAUGAGGAGCUUGCUCCUCUGACGUUAGCGGCGGACGGGUGAGUAACACGUGGAUAACCUACCUAUAAGACUGGGAUAACUUCGGGAAACCGGAGCUAAUACCGGAGAAUAUAUUGAACCGCAUGGUUCAAUAGUGAAAGACGGUUUUGCUGUCACUUAUAGAUGGAUCCGCGCCGCAUUAGCUAGUUGGUAAGGUAACGGCUUACCAAGGCAACGAUGCGUAGCCGACCUGAGAGGGUGAUCGGCGACCCGAGAGCUGGGACACGGUCCAGACUCCUACGGGAGGCAGCAGUAGGGAAUCUUCCGCAGUGGGCGAAAGCAUGACGGAGCAACGCCGCGUGAGUGAUGAAGGUCUUCGGAUCGUAAAGCUCUGUUACUAGGGAAGAACAAAUGUGUAAGUAACUAUGCACGUCUUGACGGUACCUAAUCAGAAAGCCACGGCUAACUACGUG